GGAAGUAGGUCUCCGUUGGUGACCAGCGGAGGGAUCAUUACCGAGUUUACAACUCCCAAACCCCUGUGAACAUACCUUAAUGUUGCCUCGGCGGAUCAGCCCGCGCCCCGUAAAACGGGACGGCCCGCCAGAGGACCCAAACUCUAAUGUUUCUUAUUGUAACUUCUGAGUAAAACAAACAAAUAAAUCAAAACUUUCAACAACGGAUCUCUUGGUUCUGGCAUCGAUGAAGAACGCAGCAAAAUGCGAUAAGUAAUGUGAAUUGCAGAAUUCAGUGAAUCAUCGAAUCUUUGAACGCACAUUGCGCCCGCUGGUAUUCCGGCGGGCAUGCCUGUUCGAGCGUCAUUUCAACCCUCAAGCCCCCGGGUUUGGUGUUGGGGAUCGGCUCUGCCUUCUGGCGGUGCCGCCCCCGAAAUACAUUGGCGGUCUCGCUGCAGCCUCCAUUGCGUAGUAGCUAACACCUCGCAACUGGAACGCGGCGCGGCCAUGCCGUAAAACCCCAACUUCUGAAUGUUGACCUCGGAUCAGGUAGGAAUACCCGCUGAACUUAAGCAUAUCAAAAGCCGGGAGGAA
rnacentral:rRNA from 1 species